UACGUAGGGCGCAAGCGUUGUCCGGAAUUAUUGGGCGUAAAGAGCUCGUAGGCGGUUUGUCACGUCGGAUGUGAAAGCCCGGGGCUUAACCCCGGGUCUGCAUUCGAUACGGGCAGACUAGAGUGUGGUAGGGGAGAUCGGAAUUCCUGGUGUAGCGGUGGAAUGCGUAGAGAUCCGAAAGAACACCGGUGGCGAAGGCGGCCUGCUGGGCAGUGCUGACGCUGAGGCGCGACAGCGUGGGGAGCGAACAGG
rnacentral:rRNA from 1 species